UUUGUGUGGGGUGGGUAGGGGAGCGUCGGGCAUGUGGUGAAGCCUGGGUGGAAACCAUCAGGUGGAGCGUGUUCGAGUGAGAAUGCAGGCAUGAGUAGCGAAUGGCGGGUGAGAAACCCGUCCGCCGAAUGAUCAAGGGUUCCAGGGUCAAGUUUUUCUUCCCUGGGUGAGUCGGGACCUAAGGCGAGGCCGACAGGCGUAGUCGAUGGACAACGGGUUGAUAUUCCCGUACCGGCGAAGAACCGUCCAUAUCGAAGCGAUGAUGCUAACCACCCCAACCACACCAGACCAGCCACUUUGUGGCUAGAUGGUGUGUGCGGCGUGGGACCCGAUUCGUGGAGGUAAACGUAGUAACAGGUGUGACGCAGAGAGGUAGCCGGGCCAGGCAAUGGAAUCGACCUGGUCUAAGAGUGUAGGCCGGUGUAUAGGCAAAUCCGUACACCAUAAUGGCUGAGACUUGAUGGGCGCCCACUAUGGGUGGGUGAUCCGGUGAUCCUGUACUGCCGAGAAAAGCAUCGACGUGAGGUUCUAGCUGCCCGUACCCGAAACCGACACAGGUGAUCUGGUAGAGAAUACCGAGGCGAUCGAGAGAAUCAUGGUUAAGGAACUCGGCAAAAUGCCCCCGUAACUUCGGAAGAAGGGGGGCCUGCCUCGUGACCCCCACAUGCUGGGGUGAGCGGGUGUGGGCCGCAGAGACCAGAGGGAAGCGACUGUUUACUAAAAACACAGGUCCGUGCGAAGUCGCAAGACGAUGUAUACGGACUGACUCCUGCCCGGUGCUGGAAGGUUAAGAGGACCUGUUAGAACAUUCGUGUUCGAAGCGGAGAAUUUAAGCCCCAGUAAACGGCGGUGGUAACUAUAACCAUCCUAAGGUAGCGAAAUUCCUUGUCGGGUAAGUUCCGACCUGCACGAAUGGAGCAACGACUUCCCUGCUGUCUCAACCAUGAACUCGGCGAAAUUGCAGUACGAGUAAAGAUGCUCGUUACGCGCAGAAGGACGGAAAGACCCCGUGACCUUUACUAUAGUUUGGUAUUGGUGUUCGGUGCGGUUUGUGUAGGAUAGGUGGGAGACUGUGAAGCGGCCACGCCAGUGGUUGUGGAGUCAUUGUUGAAAUACCACUCUGACCGUAUCGGAUGUCUAACCUCGGCCCGUGAUCCGGGUCAGGGACAGUGCCUGAUGGGUAGUUUAACUGGGGCGGUUGCCUCCUAAAUGGUAACGGAGGCGCCCAAAGGUUCCCUCAGCCUGGUUGGCAAUCAGGUGUCGAGUGUAAGUGCACAAGGGAGCUUGACUGCGAGACUGACAGGUCAAGCAGGGACGAAAGUCGGGACUAGUGAUCCGGCAGUGGCUUGUGGAAGCGCUGUCGCUCAACGGAUAAAAGGUACCUCGGGGAUAACAGGCUGAUCUUGCCCAAGAGUCCAUAUCGACGGCAUGGUUUGGCACCUCGAUGUCGGCUCGUCGCAUCCUGGGGCUGGAGUCGGUCCCAAGGGUUGGGCUGUUCGCCCAUUAAAGCGGCACGCGAGCUGGGUUUAGAACGUCGUGAGACAGUUCGGUCCCUAUCCUCUGCGCGCGUAGGAAAUGUGAGAAGGGCUGUCCCUAGUACGAGAGGACCGGGACGGACGAACCUCUGGUAUGUCAGUUGUACCGCCAGGUGCACCGCUGAUUAGCUACGUUCGGGAAGGAUAACCGCUGAAAGCAUCUAAGCGGGAAGCCUGCUUCAAGAUAACAUUUCCAACCAAACUUGUUUGGGAGAGGCCCCCAGCUAGACCACUGGGUUGAUAGGCAGGAAGUGUACGCACGGACCAUAGACGUGUUCAGCUGACCUGUACUAAUAGGCCGAUCACUUACACACAA
rnacentral:rRNA from 1 species